GAUGAACGCUGGCGGCGUGCCUAACACAUGCAAGUCGAACGAACCUAAUCUUCGGAAAGGGUUAGUGGCGCACGGGUGAGUAACACGUAGGUGACCUGCCCCAGAGUGGGGGAUAACUUCUCGAAAGAGAAGCUAAUACCGCAUAUGCUCAGCCAUUCAGUUGGUUGAGUAAAGCUCCGGCGCUCUGGGAGGGGCCUGCGUCCGAUUAGCUAGUUGGUGAGGUAAUGGCUUACCAAGGCAAUGAUCGGUAGCUGGUCUGAGAGGACGAUCAGCCACACUGGCACUGACACACGGGCCAGACUCCUACGGGAGGCAG
rnacentral:rRNA from 1 species